rnacentral:lncRNA from 10 species
GGGCCGGAGUUAAGAUGAGUCCAGCGAAGUGCCUAGAGUACCAAAUUCAUGGAGACGUUUCCUCUUUGGGGAACACACGCCAACCCCAGAGACAGCUUUGGUCUGAAUCGUGCAGGUUCCGGGAAGACACGGUGACCAGCUGAAUCGUGUGGUCUCGCUGCAGUCUAGUCAUCAGAUAAACAUCAGACAAAUCCCAAUGAAGAAAAUUCUACAAAACAUCUGACUAGUUCUCCUCAAAGGUCAUCAAAACAAGGAAAGUCUGAGAAAUUGUCACAAACGAUAGGAACCUAAAAAGACAUAACGACUCAAUGUAGUGUGGUACCCUUGAUAGAAUACUGGAACAGGAAAAGGAAAUUUUGCAAAAACUAUGGAA